rnacentral:snRNA from 1 species
GCGCUUCAGCAGCAAAUACACUAAAAUUGGAAUAACAGUGAAGAUUAGCAUGGCCCUCCCACAAAGAUGACACGCAAAUUCUUGAAGAGAUGUUUUCCCUU